rnacentral:rRNA from 1 species
AGGUUUGAUCAUGGCUCAGGAUGAACGCUGGCGGCGUGCUUAACACAUGCAAGUCGAACGAACCUUCGGGUUAGUGGCGGACGGGUGAGUAACGCGUGAGAAUCUGCCCUCAGGAGGGGGAUAACGGCUGGAAACGGCCGCUAAUACCCCAUAUGCCGCGAGGUGAAAUGAAUUUCGCCUGAGGAUGAGCUCGCGUCUGAUUAGCUAGUUGGUGGGGUAAAGGCCUACCAAGGCUUCGAUCAGUAGCUGGUCUGAGAGGAUGGUCAGCCACACUGGGACUGAGACACGGCCCAGACUCCUACGGGAGG